UAAGCUCAACAAGUCAAAAAAUAUAUAAGAAUGACUUGAUAAUUAGAGUGAAUGAGUUCUCAUAACAUCAGAACUAACAAAAACUAAUAAUAUUAAUUACUAAUAUUGUUUGUUUAAAAAAAAUAAACUCAAAAAAGUCGAUACAAACAUGUAUUAAAAAGCUUAUUUAAAUUAACUUAUUUGAGUUUAUAUCUAUUAACUUAUAAGACUAUUAACUUAUAAGACUAUAUUUUAAAGAAAUCGAACUUAUGAAAACAAUUACUAAACAUUUUUAUCUGAACUGUUUUUAACUUAUUAUAUAUCUUACACACAUAACCGUUUAUAUGAAAAACCUAUGUCAUAUCAACUACAAAAUAAGUUGUUUAUUCAACCAAAGAUUAAAUAUAAGCAAAAAUGAGUCAAAGAAACUUGAUGUAUUUGGUUAAAAAUUUGGACUAAAUACAUUCACUUUUGUAGACCAACUUUUGCUUAUAUUUUGGGACGGAGGGAGUACAUGAUAUAUAGAAAGAAUAUUGCCGAUGGUGAAGAUAGCUCAUGAUAUUUUCUUAUACAUUCAAAUAAGGUUUAGUGACGUAUCUUGUUGCUCGUCUACCUUUUGUUCAUAAUUAAAAACUUGUAGAAGAAAAAAAAAACCAAGAACAUAAGUAAAAAUAUUUCAAAAGAAGUAAUGUAGACAAUAUAUAAUGACAUAGCCCCAAAAACAUUAAUCAUUAAACUAGAAUUAAUGAAAAUAUAUUGAACUGUGAAUUGCAUGAUACACUAGGACGGAUCACAAUUGCACAUCACAUGAACCAAAGAGAAGAAGUUGCAAAAGGAAGAAGCAAUAUUGCUCCAUGAAGAGAAGAAGAA
rnacentral:lncRNA from 1 species